AUUGAACGCUGGCGGCAUGCCUUACACAUGCAAGUCGAACGGUAACAGGUCUUUGGAUGCUGACGAGUGGCGAGCGGGUGAGUAAUACAUCGGAACGUACCCGAUCGUGGGGGAUAACGAAGCGAAAGCUUUGCUAAUACCGCAUAAGAUCUACGGAUGAAAGCAGGGGACCGCAAGGCCUUGCGCGAACGGAGCGGCCGAUGGCAGAUUAGGUAGUUGGUGGGAUAAAAGCUUACCAAGCCGACGAUCUGUAGCUGGUCUGAGAGGACGACCAGCCACACUGGGACUGAGACACGGCCCAGACUCCUACGGGAGGCAGCAGUGGGGAAUUUUGGACAAUGGGCGAAAGCCUGAUCCAGCCAUGCCGCGUGCAGGAUGAAGGCCUUCGGGUUGUAAACUGCUUUUGUACGGAACGAAAAGACUCUUUCUAAUAAAGAGGGUCCAUGACGGUACCGUAAGAAUAAGCACCGGCUAACUACGUGCCAGCCGCCGCAGUAA
rnacentral:rRNA from 1 species